GGCUUCUGAUGAGGGUGAAAAGGAAUGCAGGGCCCCGAUCAUGCAAGGACUUUCUUCUUGCAUUUUUAGAACUGUAUAUAAAUCAGGAGCAAUGAAAUAAAGGUUUACUAAAUCUACUAAGCUACAUUACCUGCUAAAUACAUGAAUCAGGUCACCUAAAAAUGUCAACUAGUUGGCCAGGCAUGACAGGGAUCUUGAAUAGAUCUAUUAAAA
rnacentral:lncRNA from 1 species